rnacentral:rRNA from 1 species
UUUAUGAAAAAUAUUUUUAAAUAAGAAUGUUUAAGUAUAUAGAAAGAAAUUUAAUAGAAGAUAAUAGUGUAUAGUAUUGUAAAAGAAAGUUUUAAUAUUAAUUAUUUAAUUGAUUAAAAGAAAUUUUGGAAUGUGCCUUGUGUAUCAUGAAAUAACAAAUUUAUUUUUGUAAAAGAUUGUCCCGAAAAAGAGAUAGUUAAACUAUUAAAAAAGUUUUUGUAUUAAUAAAAUUAAUAAUAGUAGUUUAGAGGUGAAAUGCCAGUCGAGCUUUUAUAUCUGGUUUUAAAUAAAACGAAUUUAAUUUGGGUUUUACUUUAAUAAGAGUAAAAUUUAAGAGUAGGAAGGUGAGCUUCUUAUUCAAUUUAUGUUAAAAAUAUAAAUUAAAAAUAAGUAUUUUUGAAAAUUAGGCUUAUAAGCAGCCAUAAUAAUAAAGUGUUUAAGCUAAUAUUAAAAGUGUAUUAAUAUUUAAAAUAAUUUUAUUGUUGUAAUUUAAAUUUUCUGUAAAUUAAAAAUAGAAAGUUAUUAUGUUAUUAUUAGUAUAAAUUUAUUUUAUUUAUAAAAAUUAUAUAAAUUUUUUAAUAAAAUAUAAUAUGAAUAGAUAUUUAAAAAAAACUCGGCAAAUAAGAUUCUUGCCUGUUUAACAAAAACAUGUCUGUGUGGAGUUAUAUACAGUUUGACCUGCUCACUGAUUUAAUUAAAGAGCCGCAGUAUUUUGACUGUGCGAAGGUAGCAUAAUAGAUUGUCUUUUAAAUGGAGGCUGGAAUGAAUGGUUGGACAAAGUAUCAUCUGUUUCUUAAAUAAAUAUUGAAUUUGACUUUUAAGUUAAAAGGCUUAAAUAAAAUAAAAAGACGAUAAGACCCUAUAAAUCUUUACAUAAAUUAUAUUUUAAAUUUUAAUUUAUAAUUUUAUAAAAUAUAAAAGUAUAAUUUUGUUGUGCUGGGGCGGCGUAGAUAUAUAAAUGAACUGUCUAUGAAAUUAAAUCAAUAAUAGUUGAUUAUUAAUAUUGAUCCUUUAAUAGAUUAAAAGAUUAAGAUACUUUAGGGAUAACAGCGUUAUUUUUUCUGAGAGUUCUUAUCGAAGAAAAAGUUUGCGACCUCGAUGUUGAAUUAAAGUUUCUUUAUGGUGUAGCAGCUAUAAGAGAGAGUCUGUUCGACUUUUAAUACUUUACAUGAUUUGAGUUCAGACCGGCGUGAGCCAGGUUGGUUUCUAUCUUUUAUUGAGAAUAAAAUUAUUUUAGUACGAAAGGACCAAAUAAUUAAAAUAUUUUUAUAAAUGGAAUAUUAUUAACAACUGCUUAAUUUAA